rnacentral:lncRNA from 1 species
UGGCCACCGGGGCUGCAGGAACCAGGACACUGAUAACCACAGCCUUCAUGGCAGUAAGUGAAGGGAGAAAGGGAGACCUACCAAGCUGAAACAGCUGAACGCACUGGGUGAAUGUGGCAGGACAGACAGGACCAUGCUGACAGUCCUGCUCAGUAAAUAUUUGCUGAUGACCAGCAUGACGACGCUUGGAGAAACUAACCCCCACCAAACUGUUCAGGAAAACAUUCUUCUUUCAUCACUGACCAAUGGAAUUUCUGUAUCCCAGAGAUGUUGUCUCAGGCAUGCAACAGUGACUACAGCUGAGAGAAGAAGAUACAGAAGAAAGUUGCCCUCCAGGACGAAGGCUAAGCUCUCAAUUCUAGGGGACAAUUCUGGCCCCCGGCCAGCCCAGCACUUCUGUCACGUCUUGCCUGGCGCAUCUGUCUGGCUGUGAAAUGGUUUUCUGCACCUCAUGCUGCCCCCAAGACAGCAGUGGAGCACGGAAAGCUGAGAGACGGUGGAGAAGGCUGACUUUCAUCAUAGCAGGUCUGACUUUAAUAACAGCAGGUACUGCUGUGCUACUGUUUUGCCUCCACGUGACUCACCGUAUCUCUCUGCUAUUUAGUUCCUGAUCACUAAAGCCUUGUGACCCCUUAGGAGGCUGGUGAUUUUCUCACAAGGAGGACCUCAGAGCACCAAGAAGCAUAGUGAGCUCCUUAGAGGGAACGUUUCACUGACGGUGUGAUCUGAUGGGUUGAGCAUGAACAUUCUGCAGCGCAGACCGGGUUCCUCCAGGCCUUGGAGGGGCUGAGCUUCCAGCUCCUGGGAGCCUGUCAGUGUCUCAGGGCUUCUGGGAGCAGGCCCUGCACAGAGCACGAGCCCGUCGAUGGAGGGACAUGAGGAGUUUGCUGUGUGAACUCGCCCUGGCCUCCCAGGGAAGCAGCAGGCAGACCAUCCUCUCUGAGGUUGAUGGCUACUUUCUAACAGAAGAGUCAGAGAGAUAGUGACUCAAGUGGGCACAGGCUUUGUCAGCAGCUGCCAGAGGUACAGACUGAAGCGAGCAUCUCAUGUCUUCCCCAGGUGGAGACAGGACUGUCCACUUCCUCAAGGACCUGUUGAUGGGUCAGAAAUGGAAUCACCCUUGGGUGGUCCUCACAGAGGAAGGACAGCUAUCGUGAUCCAGGCCAGGCAAUAGUACAGCUACGUUUUGCAGUAGAAAAAUGGAGACCCAAUUAAAAACUUCCAUGUAUCCAAAAUCACCAUACAUUAGGUGAUAUGAAGGAAUAAUUGUUAAU